GUGGGGAAUUUUGGACAAUGGGGGCAACCCUGAUCCAGCCAUGCCGCGUGCGGGAAGAAGGCCUUCGGGUUGUAAACCGCUUUUGUCAGGGAAGAAAUCCUUUGGGUUAAUACCUCGGAGGGAUGACGGUACCUGAAGAAUAAGCACCGGCUAACUACGUGCCAGCAGCCGCGGUAAUACGUAGGGUGCGAGCGUUAAUCGGAAUUACUGGGCGUAAAGCGUGCGCAGGCGGUUUUGUAAGAUCGAUGUGAAAUCCCCGGGCUCAACCUGGGAACUGCAUUGGUGACUGCAAGGCUGGAGUGCGGCAGAGGGGGAUGGAAUUCCGCGUGUAGCAGUGAAAUGCGUAGAUAUGCGGAGGAACACCGAUGGCGAAGGCAAUCCCCUGGGCCUGCACUAACGCUCAUGCAUGAAAGCGUGGGGAGCAAACAGGAUUAGAUACCCUGGUAGUCC
rnacentral:rRNA from 1 species